AUUGAACGCUGGCGGCAGGCUUAACACAUGCAAGUCGAGCGGGGAAGGGUAGCUUGCUACCUGACCUAGCGGCGGACGGGUGAGUAAUGCUUAGGAAUCUGCCUAUUAGUGGGGGACAACAUUCCGAAAGGAAUGCUAAUACCGCAUACGCCCUACGGGGGAAAGCAGGGGAUCUUCGGACCUUGCGCUAAUAGAUGAGCCUAAGUCGGAUUAGCUAGUUGGUGGGGUAAAGGCCUACCAAGGCGACGAUCUGUAGCGGGUCUGAGAGGAUGAUCCGCCACACUGGGACUGAGACACGGCCCAGACUCCUACGGGAGGCAGCAGUGGGGAAUAUUGGACAAUGGGCGCAAGCCUGAUCCAGCCAUGCCGCGUGUGUGAAGAAGGCCUUAUGGUUGUAAAGCACUUUAAGCGAGGAGGAGGCUACUUUAGAUAAUACCUAGAGAUAGUGGACGUUACUCGCAGAAUAAGCACCGGCUAACUCUGUGCCAGCCGCCGCAGUAAGAC
rnacentral:rRNA from 1 species